rnacentral:tRNA from 1 species
AUCCCAUUAGUUUAUCGGAUAAAACACUAUGCUACGAACAUAGAGAGACAGGUUCGAUUCCUGUAUGGGAUA